rnacentral:rRNA from 1 species
AGUGAACGCUGGCGGCAGGCCUAACACAUGCAAGUCGAACGGCAGCACAGUAAGAGCUUGCUCUUACGGGUGGCGAGUGGCGGACGGGUGAGGAAUACAUAGGAAUCUACUUUUUCGUGGGGGAUAACGUAGGGAAACUUACGCUAAUACCGCAUACGACCUACGGGAGAAAUCAGAGGAUAUUGGGAGCUUGCGCGAUUGAAUGAGCCGGUGUCGGAUUAGCUAGUUGGCGAGGUAAAGGCCCACCAAGGCGACGAUGCGUAGCUGGUCUGAGAGGAUGAUCAGCCACACUGGAACUGAGACACGGUCCAGACUCCUACGGGAGGCAGCAGUGGGGAAUAUUGGACAAUGGGCGCAAGCCUGAUGCAGCCAUACCGCGUGGGUGAAGAAGGCCUUCGGGUUGUAAAGCCCUUUUGUUGGGAAAGAAAAGCAGCAGAUGAAUACCCCGCUGUUCUGACGGUACCCAAAGAAUAAGCACCGGCUAACUUCGUG